rnacentral:rRNA from 1 species
CCUACGGGAGGCAGCAGUGGGGAAUAUUGCACAAUGGGGGAAACCCUGAUGCAGCGACGCCGCGUGAGUGAAGAAGUAAUUCGGUAUGUAAAGCUCUAUCAGCAGGGAAGAAAAUGACGGUACCUGAGUAAGAAGCCCCGGCUAACUACGUGCCAGCAGCCGCGGUAAUACGUAGGGGGCAAGCGUUAUCCGGCUUUACUGGGUGUAAAGGGAGCGUAGACGGCAGUGCAAGUCUGGAGUGAAAGGCGGGGGCUCAACCCCCGGACUGCUCUGGAAACUGUACGGCUGGAGUGCAGGAGAGGUAAGUGGAAUUCCUAGUGUAGCGGUGAAAUGCGUAGAUAUUAGGAGGAACACCAGUGGCGAAGGCGGCUUACUGGACUGUAACUGACGUUGAGGCUCGAAAGCGUGGGGAGCAAACAGGAUUAGAUACCCGUGUAGUC